AUGUUAAGGGAGUGCACAUUUGUUUGGGUUGUGAGUGAUAUCAAUCGAGCCGCAUCUGACAAGGCAGCCUGGGAGAUCCUGAAGAGCAGCAUGACAGAUAUGGUACAGGGAGACUGUAAUCAAACCAGAGACGAGAUGUGGAAAUCAAUGUUAAGGGAGUGCACAUUUGUUUGGGUUGUGAGUGAUAUCAAUCGAGCCGCAUCUGACAAGGCAGCCUGGGAGAUCCUGAAGAGCAGCAUGACAGAUAUGGUACAGGGAGGGGCAUGCACUGGCAUUACUUUCAUCUGUACCAAAACUGAUAAUAUGGGUCCUCAGUCUUACAUGAGAUCAGAAAGGUCAGUCUUUUUGGGUAUGCAGUACUGAAGAGUGUGUGUCAAUACCUGAUGAUAGUCGCUACCGGAUGGUAGUCGCGCAUGCGCAGACACAAACGGUUUACGGCAUAAGGCUCAACAUCAACAUAUGGGGCUUGUUUUAACGCAUAAUGUGGGUUUAUUUAACAUAAUAUUUAAUAAUGUUGUAAACAAUCGGCCUACUGGAUGUAAAUCUAGAAUUUUUGAUUGGUUAAGAUUAGUUACCAGGCAGGAACAGAAAACACCAUUGGCU
rnacentral:lncRNA from 1 species